UCUGCCUCUCUCUCUCUCUCUCUCUUUCUCUGUGACUAUCAUAAAAAAAAAAAAGAAACUGUAACAUUUUAUACUUCCAAUAGCAACAACAAAAAUCUUUUCCCCACCUCUUCCUCAACAUUAUUACACUUCUUUAAAGCUUUGCACCUGUAACGUUUGAAACACUCUUUCUUUAAGGAUCCAAGAAUAUUACAAAGGAUGCCAAUUCACAGACUCUGAAAAUCUACUGGAUUUUGUUCUAGAAGUAGACACAAGGAAGAAUAGUUUUUAUAAUUUUACCAGUGUUUUUAAGAUACAUAUGAAGGUUAUUAAGCAAAAAUGUUUAUAGAAGAGAUCUAAAGAGCUGUCAACUGUAGAAGACAAGCUAUAGUACUUUUUAUUUUUACAUAUCAAGCAAAGAUGGAUGCUCUAAAAAGUUUUCUUUGGAAAAUAUUGUCCAAUGUUCAAGUUGUUGAGGCUUUUAUUAAUGUAUUCCUAUUUUAAAAGCAGGCUUUAUCUAAACAUUUUAUCAUGAAUAUUAAGAUUAGAUAGAUAUUUUGAAUUUUCAAAAACUCCAAAUCAGAUUAAAAAAAUCUCAAUGGCCACUGUUCAUCCAAAUCUGUCUAAAAAUUAGUUAUGUGCUAGCCAAAAUGAUGGUUUCAACCUAUACUGUCAGUCUUUCUUAUUUGUGAAGAACCUAACUUCCUUGUUGUUACUCAUACAUUCAAAUAUUAUUUUUUUUGAUUGAUACUACUUUUCUUCAUUGUUGUAUAAAUCUGAAAUUUCCUUAUGAUUUAAUUUGUGGUCUUCACUUACCGAAUCCCGUUUAAGAAAAUUUGGUGACUCACUUAUUAAUGGUCUUGAAGCAAGAAUGUCUAUUUUACCUUCCAGUCUUCCUUCCAUGGUUUUAAUAGCAUUCAAAAGAGUCUUUAGAGAGAUUCUGGUGUCUCCAACCUCCUGAGAAGCUCUCACAGAAGUCAGACUAGGUGCAAAGGUCACACGGCGUGCAGAGUUUGGAACAACACUGGGCAAACCAACUGAUGAAGUUCUUUCCUUUACGUUGUUUACAUGGGGCCUAUAGCUUUCAAUCAAUUUGGAUGAUGCAGGCCUUUCUGGAGAUCUCCUUCUUCUUGGAGGCAUCACCAAUUAAAAACGGUAAAAUAACUAAACCUAGAGUUAUUUUUCAAUAAGUGUUCCUUUUAUGAGGAGGAACAACACAAUAUUCUUUUUUUUUUUAACACAAUAUUCUAAAUGAAGCUGUGAUGGCAAAUAUACUUGAAAAUGUGUUCCUUUGCUUUCAAAAUGAAGAAAUCACACUGUAAAGUUGUCCUAGUGAAGAAACAGACCUUCCUUAAAUCAAAUUCCCUGUAGGAGAGUGUAUCUAAUGAGGCCUCCGUUUCCAGUAUAGUCAGAUGGUUAGAACCCUAACAGUAUUCUAUUUGGAGGCACAUUCUAGCUCCUUGGUUACCAAUGCGAUACAAACAAAAAAAUUAUAGAUACAGAAGUCAGACAUACUGAGCAUUUAAGAUUUUUUAAAAAAUUUCAUACAUGGCAAAUUUGUAAAUCACUGAAAUGAAUUACUUUCUUUUGGUAACACAAUCCUGGUUUAUUUUUCUUCACUAAAUAUUCUGUAUCUUGUCUAAUUUGUCCAUCCAUUUGCUAAAGUGUUAUGUGACCUACAAAAGGUUUUCAGCCUCAGUGGCCACCAUGAUGACAAGGUCAUUAGCUCACUCUCAAGGGACUUCCUGGCUAAAAUACUCAGUGAACACUAGGGCCAGAGGCGUCAUGAUUCACUGGCAAACACCAGAUGCUCAACAAGCGAAAGCUCCCCGGAAGCAGCCUCACGCUACAGCGACUAUGGUGCUCUGACUUGCAUCCACCUCAGUGGCUUCUUUAUUCUCCCACAGGCAAACAGCUAGAGGAUGGCUGCACUCGGAGACUACAAUAUCCAGAAAGAGUUCACCCUAUACUUGGUGCUUUGUCUGUGGAGCUGCAUCAUUGUAUCAUCAAGGCUUCCCUCCUCUAGCUCACCCACAAAUAUGACUGUGACAAGAUUAUGUGCUGUAAGUAUUAGGCUUGCCUGCAGCCCUGUACUAUCAACUGCUGCAAGAAGUGCAGCCACACCAACAACCUAUACCCCAAGAGAAGAUCAACUAAGGUCCCUCCACUAGCUUUUCCUUUACCCAUAGGGCAGCCUCCUGCCCAAGCCCCAUGGCCCUGCAGCUUCAAUAAAGUUUCCAUUACAUUGAGUGGGAGGAAAAAAAAGUCUGUUUUGAAGCCAGGCAUUGACUUCUCCUCUUUAGCUAUGAAACUCCUAAAUGGCAUCUUCCAAAGGCAUCUGUUUUAUCUACAUUGAAAAUCUGUUGUUUACUGUAGCAACUUUCAUUAAUUAUCUUCUAGAUCUUCUGGAAAACUUGCUGCAGAUUCUAUAUUAGCACUUGCUUCACCUUGGACUUUUAUGUUAGAGACAGUUUCUGUCUCUAAACCUCAUGAACCAACCUCUGCUAGCUUUCAAUUUAUCUUCUGCAACUUCCUUAUUUCUCUCAGCCUUCACAGAAUUGAAGACAGUUAGGGUCUUACUCUGGAUUAGGCUUUGGUUUAAGGGAAUGUUACAGAUUGAUCUAUCCGGACCACUAAAACUUUCUCCAUAUCUGCAAAAAAAGCUGUUUUACUUCCUUAUCAUUCACAUGUUCACUGGAAUAGUAU